GUCUUUUUGAUAAUAAUUUAAAGUCUAACCUGCCCUAUGAAUAUUAAAUGGCCGCGGUAUUUUGACCGUGCAAAGGUAGCAUAAUCAUUAGUUUUUUAAUUAAAAGCUGGUAUGAAUGGUUGGACGAGAAAAUUACUGUCUCAAUUUAAUUUAAUUAGAAUUUUAUUUUUAAGUUAAAAAGCUUAAAUAAAUUUAAAAGACGAGAAGACCCUAUAGAGUUUUAUAUUGUAAUUAUUUUUAUUUUUAUAAAUUGUUAAAUUUUUAUAAUAUUUUAUUGGGGUGAUAAGUAAAUUUAUAGAACUUUAUUUUUUUUUUACAUAGAUUAAUGAUUAAAUGAUCCAUUAUUAAUGAUUAUAAGAUUAAAUUACCUUAGGGAUAACAGCGUAAUUUUUUUAGAGAGUUCAAAUCGAAAAAAAAGAUUGCGACCUCGAUGUUGGAUUAAAGUAAAUUUUUGGUGUAGAAGCUAAAAUAUUAAGUCUGUUCGACUUUUAAAACUUUACAUGAUCUGAGUUUAAACCGGCGUGAGCCAGGUUGGUUUCUAUCUUUAAAUAAAUAAAAUAUUUUAGUACGAAAGGACCAAAUAUUUAUAAUAAUUAUUUUUUUUUUGACUAU
rnacentral:rRNA from 1 species